GGGGGGGGGUGGGGGUGGGCCUAGGACGUGCAGGUCGGGCGGGAGCGCAGUAGGGGCUGGCUCGUGCGGGUGGGGAGUGGCGGGCGGGGGAGGAGUACCUCGGAAUCUACGUUUUCGUGGGGGAUAGCGUAGGGAAGCUUACGCUACUACAGCAUACGCCCUACGGGUGAAAGCAGGGGCGCUUCGGACCUUGCGCGCUUGGAUUGGCCGAUGUCGGAUUAGGUAGUUGGCGGGGUAAAGGGCCACCAAGGCGCCGAUCCGUAGCUGGUCUUAGAGGAUGAUCAGCCACACUGGAACUGAGACACGGUCCAGACUCCUACGGGAGGCAGCAGUGGGGAAUAUUGGACAAUGGGCGCAAUCCUGAUCCAGCCAUACCGCGUGGGUGAAGAAGGCCUGCGGGUUGUAAAGCCCGUUUGUUGGGAAAGAAAAGCAGCAGGUUAAUACCCCGCUGUUCUGACGGUACCCAAAGAAUAAGCACCGGCUAACUUCGUG
rnacentral:rRNA from 1 species